rnacentral:rRNA from 1 species
ACGCUGACAGAAUGCUUAACACAUGCAAGUCAACUUGAAUUUGGGUUUUUAACUUAGGUUUGGGUGGCGGACGGGUGAGUAACGCGUAAAGAACUUGCCUCACAGCUAGGGACAACAUUUAGAAAUGAAUGCUAAUACCUAAUAUUAUGAUAAUAGGGCAUCCUAUAAUUAUGAAAGCUAUAAGCGCUGUGAGAGAGCUUUGCGUCCCAUUAGCUAGUUGGAGAGGUAACGGCUCACCAAGGCGAUGAUGGGUAGCCGGCCUGAGAGGGUGAUCGGCCACAAGGGGACUGAGACACGGCCCUUACUCCUACGGGAGGCAGCAGUGGGGAAUAUUGGACAAUGGACCGAGAGUCUGAUCCAGCAAUUCUGUGUGCACGAUGAAGUUUUUCGGAAUGUAAAGUGCUUUCAGUUGGGAAGAAAGGAAUGACGGUACCAACAGAAGAAGUGACGGCUAAAUACGUGCCAGCAGCCGCGGUAAUACGUAUGUCACGAGCGUUAUCCGGAUUUAUUGGGCGUAAAGCGCGUCUAGGUGGUUAUAUAAGUCUGAUGUGAAAAUGCAGGGCUCAACUCUGUAUUGCGUUGGAAACUGUAUAACUAGAGUACUGGAGAGGUAAGCGGAACUACAAGUGUAGAGGUGAAAUUCGUAGAUAUUUGUAGGAAUGCCGAUGGGGAAGCCAGCUUACUGGACAGAUACUGACGCUGAAGCGCGAAAGCGUGGGUAGCAAACAGGAUUAGAUACCCUGGUAGUCCACGCUGUAAACGAUGAUUACUAGGUGUUGGGGGUCAAACCUCAGCGCCCAAGCAAACGCGAUAAGUAAUCCGCCUGGGGAGUACGUACGCAAGUAUGAAACUCAAAGGAAUUGACGGGGACCCGCACAAGCGGUGGAGCAUGUGGUUUAAUUCG